UCCUUUUUUUCUUAUUCCGAUCAGAAUCAGACACGGUUAUAUAAACUGAGACUCUGUGAGAGAGAGAGACCCAUGAUCGAUCGUUUUGUUAAGUUGAGUGUUGUUCGAUUCUUUAAACCAAAAAAAAAAAAAGGAUACGAUUGUUUUCUUUGGAGCGGACGAUAUGAAAGCGAAAGUGAAAGCUAUGUUCUCGAAGCGACGAACAUGUGUCGACUCUGUUCGUUCUCAAAAGAUAUAUGGUUCUAACUAGAUGUGUGCGAUGAUAACUGCUUCGGGCCUUCGGCUUUUUCUAUGUUGCGGUGGUCCGGUGGAGGUGGGUGGCUGUUCUGUUGUGUUCCUUCGAGAAUGGUGUUGCGAUCGUAAGAGACGCUCCAAACCUUUUGGGCCCGAAGAAAGAAAUUCUAGCCCAUCAGAAAGUUACAAGCCCAUGAAGAUAGUUGUCUGAUUUCCUUUUUCUCGCUAAUCGUAUCAUCAUCAUUGCUCAG